rnacentral:rRNA from 1 species
UACGUAGGGUGCGAGCGUUAAUCGGAAUUACUGGGCGUAAAGCGUGCGCAGGCGGUCUGUUAAGACCGAUGUGAAAUCCCCGGGCUUAACCUGGGAACUGCAUUGGUGACUGGCAGGCUUUGAGUGUGGCAGAGGGAGGUAGAAUUCCACGUGUAGCGGUGAAAUGCGUAGAGAUGUGGAGGAACACCGAUGGCGAAGGCAGCCUCCUGGGCCAAUACUGACGCUCAUGCACGAAAGCGUGGGGAGCAAACAGG